GAAGUCUGAAGUAUCUUAACAGAGCAUUUGGUAUUCAAAAUUAUCGUCCAUAUCGGGCCAUAUCUUAUCUCAUCUCCCUUGGAAAACCCUUCAAAAAGCAGUCAGCGAACGAUGCUCAAAAAGAAAUCCAAUUUAAUGACUGUGAAGCAGCCCCUGCGGAAUCUUAAGGAACCCCACUCAAUCGAUGGACACCCGUUGCACGAUGACUUGUGCUGGUAGGCAAUGCACUGACAAAAAUCAUUACUUACAUGUAUUGUCUUGCUUGUUUUAUUAGUCAGUGUACUCGGAGUGGACUUGGGUCACUAAAACUUAACAAAAUGCCACUAGCAAAUUAUAAAAUAGUUAGUUUAAGGAAAUAAAGUGUAUUAGUAAUUUUUUUUAAGUGGGAAAACAAUUUUUAAAGUCCACCCCGCCCUUCCCAUUUGGAAUUCAAAGUCCGCGUCUUUGUUUUCGUUGUGGCUGUCACUUUGGACGCGGAGCCACGUUAAUGGCAAGUGUAAAAUGCUUUAAGCCAAGACCAAGACCUCCAUCAGCAAAGGAAAACGGAAGGACACAGAGGAAAGUGGCAAAGCAGACCGACGUGAAGCGUCGUUGGGAGCAAAAAGAGUUUAAUUAACACGAAAAUGGUUUCAAUUACAUAAAAUUACGUUUCCUUGCAGUGA